AACGUAGGUGGCAAGCGUUAUCCGGAUUUACUGGGCGUAAAGGGUGUGCAGGCGGGGUUGCAAGUGGGGGAUGAAAUCUCCCGGCUUAACCGGGAGGGGUUAUGCCAGACUGCAAUUCUAGAGGACGAGAGAGGGGGGUGGAAUUCCGGGUGUAGUGGUGAAAUGCGUAGAGAUCCGGAGGAACACCAGUGGCGAAAGCGGCCACCUGGACUGCACCUGACGCUGACACGCGAAAGCUAGGGGAGCGAACGGG
rnacentral:rRNA from 1 species